rnacentral:rRNA from 1 species
AACGAACGCUGGCGGCAGGCCUAACACAUGCAAGUCGAACGCUCCAGCAAUGGAGAGUGGCAGACGGGUGAGUAACGCGUGGGAACCUACCCUUUGGUUCGGAAUAGCUCAGGGAAACUUGAGGUAAUACCGGAUAAGCCCCUCGGGGGAAAGAUUUAUCGCCGAAGGAUGGGCCCGCGUCGGAUUAGCUAGUUGGUGGGGUAACGGCCUACCAAGGCGACGAUCCGUAGCUGGUCUGAGAGGAUGAUCAGCCACACUGGGACUGAGACACGGCCCAGACUCCUACGGGAGGCAGCAGUGGGGAAUAUUGGACAAUGGGCGCAAGCCUGAUCCAGCCAUGCCGCGUGAGUGACGAAGGUCUUCGGAUUGUAAAGCUCUUUUGGCGGGGACGAUAAUGACGGUACCCGCAGAAUAAGCCCCGGCUAACUUCGUGCCAGCCGCCGCAGUAAUAC